rnacentral:lncRNA from 1 species
UGAUGUUCAGAAAUUUUCUUACUCUAUGUGCUUGCUAUCUUCUUGUUUUUACAACGAGUCUAUCUAAGUAAAAAAAACAUGCAUCUCCCUUAAAAAAACAGGAAUCUCCAUUGUAAAAAAACAGGCAUCUCAACUCAACAAGUACAUUAUUCCAUAUACAUAAAAUGUUAGAUUCAGCCACAUAAAUGUUAUUCGGAGACGAGAUUCAACCCAAUCCGAACCUUUCGAGCUGCGGAGAUUGUAACUUAUGUUCACUUAUGUCAAUCUAAUCUCCAACUGCUUUGAUGAUGGACAUAGGGACACUUAGAAACUAAAAUCUAUCAUCGAUUCAAUUCCUCUUCUUUGAAUGGGAGAAAAGGUAACAAAUAGUGACGCAGACAGAUGACAACUGAGGGUUAUCCUUCACUAACUAAAACGCUAAGGUUCAAAUUCAAUGCCGACUAAUAAAUGUGGGAGAUUUAGACUACAUAGCGAAGGUUUGAGAUUAAACCACAAACCAUUGACUGCGCAGCUAGCCUGUGCCAUUCAUCACAUUCCUUUACCAGGAGCUGCAAGAAAGGAAUUGCCUGUACAGAGAGACUAGGAUGACUUGGACUGCAAGGUAACAAAAGAAUUGCCCCUUCUUAAGUAAGGCGAGGUGGGUUGUUUUUCUUAAUGCCAUAACUUGCUGCAGAACCCAUUCCUAGGCCUCUUGCUGGAUACGACAUCCGAGAACGAAUCAACCAACUGUUCGGCUAAGCUACCAUGGUCAUCAUUCAGAGUCCUAAUGAAAGUAUGCACCACUCUCCGCUCCUGUUCCGUUGAUCUCAAGCUAAACCACGUCAGCAAUUUCAGUCUGAAUUCCUGAUCGAUGUGACCUCCACAUUCCAGCAUUCGGAUCGUCUUCACACACGCGACGACCCGACAUUACAUUCAAAUCAAGCCCUUGUAAAGCAGUUGGCAAGUGAAUAUCAUCAUCUCGAGUCUCUGCUAUGGUUAAAGCAGCAUCACAACACUUGUCAGUGCCAGCACUACAGAAACCUUCUACGCCGGCUCGCUCUUGUGCCCACGCCAUACGUAUGAUUUUCCCAAGCUCCCGGACUCUGAAUCCGGAGAAUUCACUCCCUCUUUCGUUAGGAUGAUCAUCCGUCUUACCAUUUUCUACAACAGAAGAAGAACGAGGAUGCUUACGAAUAAUGUCAACACUUUUGGUGAAACACUUGGCCUCUGAAUGACCUAAAUCACCAGAAUCAGUGUAUGACAUAAUUCGAAAUGUAUACUCUGUGCAUGGCUGCAGAUUUGUUAUCAGAAUCCUCCUCUGAGUCUUUGGGAACACACUAACAGGUUCCUUUUGAGGCGUCUCUUCUCGACUCUUGCUAUACCACAGUUUGUAACCCUUAAUAUCAUCAGCAAACGAUGCAGCUGAUAUUUCGAUCAGAAUAAUAAUGACGGAGGAAGAUGUUACUUCUUCAAAGAAAAACCUGCAAGCUGCUGGCAGUGAGCCCUCUGGAAAAUAAGAAAGAAGUGAUUAUUAGGAUUUCCGUAUUGCGGAGUCUGCUGACAAUGCCCCGUGCCAAGUUGGCAGAAACACCGUUUAUCGAGCCAACCUCGGUCUCUAGCUUGGCUUUCGCAACUUUUAUGAAUUCGUGCAACUCUUUGAAUCUUGAAGUUCUGUCCAGUAAUCUAUAACUAAGGUCUAUUCUAUAGCAUAGCACAUCAACACGACGGGCAUCUUUAGCAAUACUCAGCUGCUUCUUCCAGGAUCUGCACGUAUGUAGACAAUUUGACGAUAACGCACCCUUUCUAUAUAGGAUUGCAAGAGAAACGAAAUGAAAAACAAAUACUUACUCUAGAAUGCCAGACACUUUACCACAAGAAGCGCAGCAAUAACUGCCAUCUAGCUGCAUGAGUUGCCCGAGAUCAACAACUCCAACCUUUUCAUGCUGGAAGGCACACUCAAUGUGACAAGAGAGCCCACAAGAAUCCUCAUCACUGGAUUCAGAUGUGCAGAACAACCACAGACUCGGGUCUUUAUUCUCGUCAAAGGAAUGACAGAUACAGCAAGAACAUCUCUUACAAAAUGAGUCCGCAGCAAGAACAUCUCUUGCAAAAUGAGUCCUCGAUGGAUAAGACAGCUCGGCAGGCAGAAUUUUUACAUAUCCACGAGUUUUCACUCCCAAAUUCCGGUGAUUCAUCAGAGGAAUGCACGAUCCGCGCAGGAUUAUCCCCCUUUCUUUUCUGCUUCUUUGAAGAAGACUGAUUAUUGGUGGCAGGAAUUUUCUUUGUUUCCUGCUUCUUGUUCGUUUUGUUACCCAACUGAAGUUCAGUCAUUUUGCCUUUGGAUGAUGCUGAUUGUUUAUUGUCCUUACCAAAGGAAGUACAGAGAAGGGCCUUUCUGGGACCAGAUUUCAGAAACUCUUGAAUUAGCUCUGAACUUCUUGAAGCCUCAUCGGAAUUAUUAUUUUUCUCUCGAGUGCUAUCACACUGGAAGAGAGGUUUUGAACACCAGAAACUGGAAUAAGACAAGGGGCUAAUUUAAGAAAUUGAAAUGCGCUCCAAAAUCUGUCAGAUUAAAAUGCAGAAAGUUCAUCUGCAACAAUUUUCUUUUGUAAGAUUCUCAGCCAUGCAAUAAAACGGAGAGAAUACGGAACCCAAAAACAACCAUUCAAAUAGAAAUCCAUGCAGACGAAGUAACCAAGACAUGACUAGGACAAAGUCAAAAACAUUUUGGUACUGCAGUCAGGAAAACACCUUCCAAUCAAAUUACAGAAGUUUGACAUAAAAGCAGAGAUCUGAAUGCCAGCUCCUAUUGGAAUCAUUCUUACAUCCGGCAGUUUUUGUAAACAACUUCGGUUUGAAAAGAUUUCCUUUUUUUAUCAGAUGCAGAUUCCGAACCAGGGAGCAUGUGAGCAAGAGAAAGUCAUCAGGAACACGGGCCAGGAAAGUGUUAUUCUUCACAAGAAACAAUCUUCAAUUUCAUCAACCUCAGCCUAUGAGCAACUUAGUAACCAUCGAUCGAUUACAAGCCAAACUCAAUUUUGAGAGGUCAGAGACAGACCAUACCUCUGCCGUGGAAUUUAUCAUCCAAGUCCAUUACUAUACAGAUCCGCCCAAUAGCUUUAGCUGCCCUACCUAUGACAAAGAUGCUAGAAAUGUCAGUAAAUUGACAUGGGAAUUCUUAUCCAGAAGCUCAAUCAAAAAUACGUUAACAUGCUACUCAAAUUUAUAGAAUCCAACCCAUUCGUGAGGGGAGACAAAGAAGGAUCGAGAUCAUCAGUUACCCACGUCUUCAAAGUAAGAGAUAAUUUUUAUGUAAGUUGAAUGCCGAAUGCAGAUACUGGUAAAGACAAAAAUGAACAAUGAAACGCACAAACUCCGUAGAGAAAGCAACAAAUUCUAAGAUUCAUACUUAAAAAAACAGUAGCCUAGCUGAACUGGGAACUUCCAGAGAAAGAACAAAAUAGAAGGCCUAGCGAACAAGAACAAAGAUUGGAGUAAACAAGCUCCAAUUGAGAUCAAGGGCAAAGAUAAUGAAGACAAUCAUCUAGAACCCUCGCACCAGUCCCCCUCUCGUCUCCAUUACUCCCAAAAAGAACCAUGUUUCCCUAUCUUCUUCAGAUUAUUUUUUACAAAAAAACCAAUAUAAUUUUAUAUUUUUAAACUCGACCUGCCAAAGCUAUGGAACAAAGUUCCACUACAUCUGAACUCUCGUACAUUGCGUAAAUUCAACGUGAAAAGCAAAUAAUUCACACACAAAAUUCAAAUAUACAAAUUGAAGCAGCUACGUAGAAGCAAAUACCGGAAAGGCAAAAGGAAAAAAGAAAAAUCCUCACGAAUUUCACAAAGCCAUGACGAUAGAAAGAAAAGCAGGCGCAAUAGUCCUGGAAACGUUAAUCGAGUCACAGCUGGUAACUGUAACGGAUCUGGGCACGUAAAAGCUUCCGGCAAAACGAGAAAAGAUAGAAAGUACAAGAGAAAGGAAGAAAAAACCAUGAGAGACGUACCAGCAGGAGCGAGUGGAUAAUAACAGAAGAAAAAUAAGCUCCUAGGGUUUGGAAUGGGACCAGCAAAAAGCCCAAGGACGAAGAAGAAGAAGUAGAAGAAGAAAUUUCUCUCUGUGAAAGAGGAGAAUCCAAAGAUGCAGAGAGGAGAGAGAGGAAUUAGCUUCCUGCUGCUAAUCUAUUGUUGCUCUGUUUGGCGAGAAAGAGAAAAUAAAAUAAAAAAGAAAUGCCGGUAACGAGAUGUGAGCGCGGAAGGGGAGGUGGUGGGGAAACUUUACGCGCGAGUGCCGGUGCGUAUAUUUGUUGGGCGAGUUGAAGUUACGUUGAGCACCGUCACGUGGUAUUAUUGGUACGUGAAAGUAACCCCAGGCUGCGCUAGCGCGUUAUUAUUUCUGCUUGUAUAUUUUUAUUUCAGGAUUUUCGGAAUCUUUUUACUUCCUGACUCUUUUCUUGCAAUUAAUUAUUUUCGCAGGGUGUUUUUUUAUACAAAAUAUUCAAAAUGUGAUAAGUUUAGGUAUAUAUCGAGAAAUGUUGCAACUUUUAUAUAGAUUUUUUGUCACCGAAUUUGAAGUUUCGGACGAACUAUGUCACGCUGUUAAUUUGUGCUUCACUCCGUCCACAAAAUUCGCCCUAGCCCGUACAUGUCAGAUUUGUACCGCUGAUGUGGCAUUCAAUUAUUUCUAAUUAAAACAGAUUUUAUUAACACAUUCUCCAUCUCCUCCAAACCAAAUUCCCUUUUCACCUUCUCGUCCCCCGCCUCUAUCGAAGGUAGACCGUUGUGACUGUGUGAUCGAAGAUAGCCUUGGAAUCUCGUGUACAUGUAGGCUUGAAUCUAUGGAAUGUGACAGGGUUUGGUUGAAAUCAUACCACCUCCACUAAUUUUUGCGAUCAUUGGAGUACACUAGCUUCUAAACAGUGAGAAGUGGGAAGAUCAUGACCGCGACAUUCUGAGCGGGAUGGUACAGACGAUUUGUGACAGCGGUGGGACUGCUAUACAGGCUUCCCGUAAAUUGGUUCAGUCGUAGUUCCAACCCGAAUCGGAGAAUGUGAAAGAGCCUAAAACGUCUGAGGCCCCAAAGGGUAGACCUCGUGCACGAAAGGCAGACGGCUGGAACCCUUCUUAGCACGAGCAUGCGAGUGCUCAUUGUACCCCGACCAAGGGCAAACCCAAGUCAGGUUCGCACGAUUUUAUACUACAUCACUGUCUUCAUCUUAUCGGUUGUGAUCACAAAAUAGCAUAACGUUACAGAUCAUUCAAACGCCUGUGAAGGGUACACCCACACCAAGCAUGUCGGGAGCCACUCCAGCAAGAUCCAUUCCAUGUAGAGGUGUGUAGCAGAUUCUUGAUCACGUCUAUGGAACUAUUGUACUAGAAUAAAAUCACCGUCCUAAUUAUUUAUUGCACCUCUAAAAUUUGAGUGCAACUCUUUAUCCAGUAUAUCCCCAUCGGACUCCGUGGACUGCUAAACAACGUGUUUGACGUUAUCGACGAUGGCCAUUGCGGGUUUAGAUGCGUGUCCCACUCAGUUCACGACUCGUGGAAAUGAGAUAGGAGCUUAUGGAUCAUGUUGUUUACUUGGCAAGUUGGUACCAUAUGGAGAAGAGUUGGAGACCAUUCUAGCAAGGUUAGGUUGGCUGAGCAAGGAACCAUGUGACGACCAAUGAUGGUUCUGGAACCUGGACCUGUUCGGAUUUGCCACUAUGCACAGUUGGACUUAUGUUGUGUUCGGCAUUGGGGGAUGGUCUCCCAUAUAAGGAGACAUUUCUUCUGUUGAGACUCCGGCGUGGGACACAGUCGUCAGAGAUGUGUGACGUACCUCGUGUGUACCAGUAAUCAUUGGGUGCGGUUAUAUUUGGAUGCUGACGACGUGGUGUUUUUAAUUUUGCAGCCGAACGCGUGGAAUUAUUGGGCCGAUGAAAGUGCAAAAGUGUGUGGGUGGGCAGUUUGUAUCAUGAUGAACGUGCAAAGUAUGAUAUGUUGGUUCCACCGCGUAAGUAGAUGACACUGUAAUCUCAUAUGUGUACUAAACGCUUGCAGUACGGUUUCCUAUUUGUUAAUCUAGCUCCAUUGACUCUUAAUUAUAUUUAAAUACCGUAACUCUUAAUUAUAUUUAAAUACCGUAACGUAAAAAAUGCAAACCAACAGGAAGGACGGGUCCAUUAGUCUUGUUCCGCCGGACGGAAAUCCCAUUCGUCCGGUUAGUUUUGACGGACGAAAAUUUCGUCUGUCUGGUUAGUUCUGUCCUAUUUUGGUUGUCGUACCUAGCUAUUCAUCCUUGUUAUAAUUAAUUACAUGUCAUUCAUACCUCGUUACAUAUAAGUCGUUAUACUCUGGUAUAGCGAUGUUAAACUCAUUAUAACUUGGUAUUCAUUAAAAACUUGUUACAACUUGUUAUAAGUAGGUAUUCAUUCAUGGUUUAACAGAAAACGUUUUUCAUGCAUAAUGUCAACCAUAACAGAAUCGCAUACUUAACAAAAUAGAGCAACAAAUAGAACAUAAUUGUAUGUCAUCUGCAACAGAGUCUCAUACAAAACAACAACAAAAUACAUGAACGUCUAAAACAUAACACUAACUGAGCAUAACGAACAUACCACUGUCUAGCGGUACGGUCCCUGCGCGUGGAAGUCCAUGUAGAGGUCCUCCAUGCUGGAACGCAGCUCCUCUAACUGUGUGAGUUACACACUGCCAGUCUCGAACUGGUGUGCAAGCAAACCGUUUAAGUAGGGGUGUAGAUGAUCUAACAUCCAGUAAGCCGACUGUACAAAGAAAAACAAAACUCAUUAAUCGUGUAUAAAGGUGCAAUAAUUAAUACAAUUCGAGAAUCACACUUACCAUAUAGGUCGACAAGCGAGCACCCCACUUACCAUAUCGAUCGACAAGCGAGCACCACUAAAAAUCGGGACUAAAAUGUGUGGGUGGUUGUGCCGUACCUACAACUCCAUAUAGCGCGGCUUGACAUCGACGUUGUCCUCCACACAUCGAAACAAAGUCUGAAGUGAGAUAAGUCGAACGUAUUUGGGGUCAGUCCAGGAAAAAUCCCGAGUUGGAUCCCACUCAACCACAUAUCCAUUAGCCUCAGCUAACCUAACAACCCUAAUGGGACGGACGAUAUGCGGAGGAAUCAUCUGCAUGUAGCCAAACUGUCUAACCACACUGGUGGGGUCGUAGUACUCGGGGGUAGUAGCGUAACAAAUCACCCCACGAAACACUGAAUCAGGAACCUCUAGCUCGGGCCAGUGACCGAAAGGCAGCCAAGUCACAUCAUGUGCGGUCAUAUCAUUGAGAAGAUGACGAUAACACUCUAACCUAUGGUUCUUGAACUUGUAUGGCCUCUCUAACUGCUCGCCACUACUCCACCUCCACCUAAAGCCUCACCCUCGCCCCGUUCCCGACACACUACUCUAGUAGAACGAGUACUAGAGAAAUGCUCGUGGAUCCAAGACUAAAGUAGUGUCGGACCGCCAACCAUCCCCUUGCACGAGGCAUGACUAGCCUUGUCGAGCUCGUGGUAUAACCAUGCUUGCGCGCCCUGGCCCCCAAGUGUACCGCAACAUCCCCCAUAAAGUACUCCCACAACACGAGACGAGUCUGAUCCACUUAAUUAUCUGUAAAUAAAGCAUAGAUCUCCCUUAAAAGAAAAUAGGCAUCUCAACUCAACAAGUGCAUUAUUCCAUAUACAAAAAAUGUUAGAUUGAGCCACAUAAAUGUUAUUACGGAGACGAGAUUCAACCCAAUCCGAACCUUUCGAGCUGUGGAGAUUGUAACUCAUGUUCACUUAUGUCAAUCUAAUCUCCAACUGCUUUGAUGAUGGACAUAGGGACACUUAGAAACUAAAAUCUAUCAUCGAUUCAAUUCCUCUUCUUUGAAUGGGAGAAAAGGUAACAAAUAGUGACGCAGACAGAUGACAACUGAGGGUUAUCCUUCACUAACUAAAACGCUAAGGUUCAAAUUCAAUGCCGACUAAUAAAUGUGGGAGAUUUAGACUACAUAGCGAAGGUUUGAGAUUAAACCACAAACCAUUGACUACGCAGUUAGCCUGUGCCAUUCAUCACAUUCCUUUACCAGGAGCUGCAAGAAAGGAAUUGCCUGUACCGAGAGACUAGGAUGACUUGGACUGCAAGGUAACAAAAGAAUUGCCCCUUCUUAAGUAAGGCGAGGUGGGUUGUUUUUCUUAAUGCCAUAACUUGCUGCAGAAUCCAUUCCUAGGCCUCUUGCUGGAUACGACAUCCGAGAACGAAUCAACCAACUGUUCGGCUAAGCUACCAUGGUCAUCAUUCAGAGUCC